UGUGACUAUGGAGCAACAAAGCUUGGGAGUC
rnacentral:piRNA from 1 species